GAUGAACGCUAGCUACAGGCUUAACACAUGCAAGUCGAGGGGUAACAAGAGAAAAGCUUGCUUUUCUUGUUGACGACCGGCGCACGGGUGAGUAACGCGUAUCCAACAUGCCUACAACUAGGGAAUAACCCUGCGAAAGUAAGACUAAUACCCUAUGAUUGCCUUUGAUGACAUCAGCUGAGGAAUAAAGAUUUAUCGGUUAUCGAUGGGGAUGCGUCUGAUUAGCUUGUUGGCGGGGUAACGGCCCACCAAGGCAACGAUCAGUAGGGGUUCUGAGAGGAAGGUCCCCCACAUUGGAACUGAGACACGGUCCAAACUCCUACGGGAGGCAGCAGUGAGGAAUAUUGGUCAAUGGGCGGUAGCCUGAACCAGCCAAGUAGCGUGCAGGAUGACGGCCCUAUGGGUUGUAAACUGCUUUUAUACAGGAAUAAAGUUAGCCACGUGUGGUUAUUUGUAGGUACUGUAUGAAUAAGGACCGGCUAAUUCCGUGCCAGCCGCCGCGGUAA
rnacentral:rRNA from 1 species